rnacentral:rRNA from 1 species
AAAUUGAAGAGUUUGAUCAUGGCUCAGAUUGAACGCUGGCGGCAGGCCUAACACAUGCAAGUCGAACGGUAGCACAGAGAGCUUGCUCUCGGGUGACGAGUGGCGGACGGGUGAGUAAUGUCUGGGAAACUGCCUGAUGGAGGGGGAUAACUACUGGAAACGGUGGCUAAUACCGCAUAACGUCGCAAGACCAAAGAGGGGGACCUUCGGGCCUCUUGCCAUCAGAUGUGCCCAGAUGGGAUUAGCUAGUUGGUGAGGUAACGGCUCACCAAGGCGACGAUCCCUAGCUGGU